UGUUUAUUUAGUAAAGAGGAGUCGUU
rnacentral:piRNA from 1 species